CAACUCGGCAUUCUACUGGAGGCUAUAUGAUCAAACAGCAAACUGUUUAUCAUGAAUGCAGAAUGUGAGCAAACUCAAGACUGCUCCUGCCAACAGAAGGUUUGCUGGAGGCAAUCACUCCCUGGCACCGAGGCUAUCUACUGUGAUAUCUAGAGCCUGUUGUUCGAGAAUGCAGUCUUGCAAGCCUACUCUGGACUGAGCAGCUGACCCCUUCUUCCACCCUCCUUCUCAUUAUCUCUUUUGCCUAAUAAAUAUGGAGGGCUGUGUAAAGCUCGGGGCCCUUGUCCACUAGAGGCAAGGUGCCCCCUGACCCCUUCUUCCAAAUAUACUCUUUUGUCUCCUGUCUUUUAUUCCCGUGUUUGCUCCUCUUUGUUCAGUCCAUGUAGGUCCGUGCCAGUUACAAGUGGCGACCCAGAACAGGGACUCCAACGACGCCCAUCAAGUGGCGUCUGAACACAGGACUACGAGGACUUGAACGAAGGUCUGCUGGAGCAGAGGAACUGAAAUUGACAAGCGAACGGGGACCCCGGGAUGAGUCUGCCAGCAGCGGAUAAAAGUCGGUAAAAGAGGAUGGACUGCCAAUUGGAGAAUGAGAGCUGCCCAGCCUGGCCUUACAUUCUUUCAAUUAAUUCAUUAACAGGAAGGGAGAUAUGCAGGGAGCCAAAGGCCCAUGGGACGUGACCAACUUGGCAUUCUACUGGAGGCUAUAUGAUCAAACAGCAAACUGUUUAUCAUGAAUGCAGGAUGUGAGCAAACUCACAACUGCUCCUGCCAACAGAAGCCAACAGAAGUUUUGCUGGAGGCAAUCACUCCCUGGCACCGAGGCUAUCUACUGUGAUAUCUAGAGCCUGUUGUUUGAGGAAUACAAUCUUGCAAGCCUACUCUGGAUUGAGCAGCUGACCCCUUCUUCCAUUCUCCUUCUCACUAUCUCUUUUGCCUAAUAAAUACGGAGGGCUGUGUAAAGCUCGGGGCCCUUGUCCACUAGAGGCAAGGUGCCCCCUGACCCCUCUUCCAAAUAUACUCUUUUGUCUCUUAUCUUUUAUUCCCAUGUUUGCCCCUCUUUGUUCAGUCCAUCUAGGUCUGUGCAGGUUACAAUGCAUUAGCUCUUUCCUGGUUCUUCAGCUUGAUGGCUGUUGGACUUGAACCUCCACAUUGACUCUUCCCUGGGUCUCCAGCCUACAGGCCCACUCUGCAGAUUUUGAUCUUGUCAGCCUCCAUAAUCCUAUGAGCCAAUUCCUUCAAAUAAAUAUCUUUCUACAUGUAGAUAUAUCCCACUGGUUCUGUUUUUCUAGAGAAUCCUGACUAAUAUGGCUAACCAGAGUAGCUUCUGUUAUUUGCAGCCAAGAACACUGACCUGUGUUUUUUUUUAAUUCCUUAGGGAAUGCUAGUAUAUUUCCCACUUUAAGAAAUACUUUUCUAAAUACUUCCCUGCUUUAUUCCUUUAUGUGUUCCUCAGUAAAAGUGUCCUUGGGGAACCCAGGACAGUGGACCCACUGAUAUAAUUUGCCUACCUUGGAAAAUGUACAGAUGCACCUGUUGUUCUCCCAACCUCUGGGUUAUACUUGAUAAUGAUACCUUCUGUUUCUACCGUGCUUUCUUUCUCAUUGUGGUAAAACAAACAAACAAAAAAUAUUUAACAUAAAAUUUAUCAUCUUAACCUUUUUUAGGUGGGCGUAAAGUUCAGCAGCGUCAAGUAUAUUCACAUUGUUGUGAAACAAAUCUCUAGAACUUUUUUGUCUUCUGAAACCCUAUACUCAUUAAAACAAUAACUCUCCUUUCCCCUCCUCCAGUCCCCAGUAACCACCUUUCUACUUUCUGUUUCUGAGUUUGACUACUCUAGGUACCUCAUAUAAGUGGAAUCAUAUGGUAGUUGCCUUUUUGUUCCUGGCUUAUUUCACUUAGAAUAAUGUCCUUAAGGUUCACGCAAGUUGUAGCAUGCGACAGGGUCUCCUUCCUCUUCAAGACUGAAUAAUAUUCCAUUGUAUGUGUAUAUCACAUUUUGUUUAUCCAUUCAUUUGUGGAUGGUAACUUGGGUUGCUCCCACCUCUUGGCUAUUGUGAAUAAUGCUGCUAUGAAUGUUGGUAUGCAAAUAUCUCUUUGAGACUCUGAUUUUGAUUAUUUUGGAUAUAAAUCCAGAAGCCGGAUUGCUGGAUUGCUGAUGGUUCCUCAUAGGAUUGCUGGGUCCUGUGAGGAACCAUCAUACUGUCUGCAUAGGAAUUGCACCACUUAUCCAUGAUGCAUUUAGCUCCUCAAAGCAAUCUUACAGUUUUAGUUUUGUCCUCACAACCUUACGAGGUAAGUAGAGCACACAUUAUUAUCCCCAUCUUGCGGAUGAAGUAGUUGAGGCAUAAAGGUGUCAAACAGCUUGCAUAACAUAACAGCUAUUUUUUUUUUUGAGAUGGAGUCUUCUUCUGUUGCCCAGGAUGGAGUACAGUGGCACAAUCUUGGCUCACCGCAACCUCUGCCUCCUGGGUUCAAGUGAUUCUCUUGCUGCAGCCUCCUAAAUAGCAGGGAUUACAAGCACGUGCCACCAUGCCCGGCUAAUUU
rnacentral:lncRNA from 1 species